AGAUGCCCUGCCCAGUGAGGAGGAAUCUAAAGAGGAAGUCUGGCCACAGUCGCUUUUCUGUGCUGGGGUGAAUUCCACACAGUCUGAACUUCCCGGUUGCUUCCUUAACACUGUGUGGGGAAAACCGCCUACUCAAGCCUCAGUAAUGGCAGACUUCCCAACCCCCACAAACCUUGAAGAGGAACAAUCAAUAAAGUAAACAUUUUUGAUCCAUUACAUAUAAUGUUAACUCUCAAGCAUGUUUGGUGAAGCUAUGCUUUCAUAUAAUGCUUUCAAUGCAUUAUUAGAUAAGAAGACAAGUUCUCAGUAAGGUUGUGGUAUAUAAGUAUUAAUAAGCAUUGAAGGCCUAACAGCACUGGCUGUCAAAUCUGUGUGUAUUAAUGUGAAUUAAUGAGCUUUUCCUCUCCCAAGAGGAAAACAGUUUAUUACAGGUUAAACAAUGAUGAGCAAAACACAGGCAAUGCCAGUGUGAUAGAAAGCCUUCAAUUUAGAGAAGUGACCUUUAAAAGGGAUUGCAUAAAUAACCCCAAGAUAAUCAGUUGGUAUAAUAUUUUGGGUUUAGAGUUUAGAUGGUAGUAAAAGCGUGUUUAUUGAUUGGUUUGAUUUUUUAAAAUUGUACCCCUUGGGAAAUCACCUCAGUGCAGAAUUAAAGUGAAAACACAAUGAUAACAACAAAACAUGUAUAACUAAAACUAUCAUAGAAUGAAAUACUGGUUUGAAAAAAAUCACCCAUUUUCAAUUCUCCAAAUUACACAGAGAAACUAGAAAGCACUGAUUAUGUGUCUAGUUGUUGGUGUGGAAAGGAUAAUACCUUAGGACUAUUAAACUAAUACAUUUCAUUUUUAGUAAUCCCUAGUUCCAAGUUGAUCCAAGGCUGUGUUUAGAAUCCUGCCAAGAGGACUCACAUAUUUGCUUUUAUAUUAUAGCAAAGAUAUCAUUCUAUCAUUUAGGCUGAGCAGUUAGGCUUAGCACCCAAAAGAAGGAAGAUUUGAUACUCUGGAAGACCUUGACAGAAGGAAAGUUAAAAAGCCUGUUCCUUCUGGUCUCAGAAUAUGUGAAAAAGAAUUAAUCAGACAUAGGUUUCUGACUUCCCUUCUCCAGGCUAACAAGUUUGCAAGAAAGCCAAAAAUAGAGUAGCUUUUGUUGAACUUUUCUUUUGGAAUGUUCAUAUGAAGUUGUCACUUAGGGUGGCUCUGUGUCAACAUGUGAAGUAAUACAUGGCAAUGGUAGAUGAAGGUGGCUACAAAGAUGAAUCUGAGGCAACGUACCUGGCUCUGAGAGUCCAGCUGUGUUUGGAGGGGGUGUUGCUGGGAAUUUGCCCAAAGUGGUUUGCUGCAGUAGUUGGUGAGGCCAGACAUUCAAUGGGAGUCACCUCUAAACUCCAUGAAGAUAGCUGCACAGGAAGUAAGAUUUAACUAGGGGUUGAAUCAGUGACAGUUGGAUGGGGUGGAGGUGAAGUGUCAGCAGGCCAUUACUGAGCAAAGAUAACAGACCUUAUAUUCCUUUGUAAAACAAUGGCAUAUCUAAGGAUUGCACCAGCCACCUCACAGUAGAGACCAGCACAAGGAUGGCAGGCUACAUGGAAGGGAAAAUCCCUUGAAUUCUGUAAGCUUUCCCCGAAAUGAAAGUAAUGGAAACAUGACUACUCAGAUUUAAAAAAACCAGGCUUUACCUUUCGUAGUUCAAUUUAUAUUAGUACAAAUUCUUCUCAAAGGUGGUCUCCUUGAGAAGGUGCACAGGCUACUGGAAAUAGUGAAGACAGUAAUAAGAAGAAGAUUAACUGGCUUACUUACCAAGAAAAUGAAUUCAGGAAAUUUGAUUCUCGUAGAGAUCUAGAACAAGCAAACAGGAUGAACAACCACUUAUUUUGGAAUAGUGUAUUUAAAUUUGAGAAAGAGUGAUCUUUUCUUUCUCCGAAGGGUUAAGAAUGUGAUCAAAAGCCUGGAGCUGAAAGAAGGAUAAUAUGUAUGGGAGACAGUGAGGACACUUGCCUGACCAGAGCAGGUGAACACCUAUGUACAAUAAAGCUAGAUUGUAGUGGCUGCAGUGGGUGUUGAAAUACAUGUUGAAUGCAACAAAGAGGUAUUAAAAUUUCUUGAAUGUUAAUAGAUUGGCCUAAUCCUGGGUUUUAGGCAGAGCAUCCUACAACCUUAACAAAUGGUGAAUUUGGAAGCAACUAGACUCAGGGAGAUCAGCUAUACUGUUUUGUAGAAUUUUGAAUUUCAUAAGCCAAUAAAGCUCCUAGAAAAUUCUUAAGGACUAACAUAUGGUUAUCAAUUAUUUAUCUUGAAGGAAAGAAUAUUUUAAAAACCCCAACAACAAAAUAUAAACAGUAAAUUACCACAUACUAUCUUCACUGUUUCAUACAGGAAUGAAAUUUUAACAUCAAAUCAGCAGGAAGGACAUACUCCCAGAGUAAAGGACACAACACUAAGAUGAAUAAACUUGAUGUUCUUAGAGACCUACCACAUUGCCUCUGUUUUCUCACUUUCUCCUCUACCUGUAACUCUGUGAUAUAGCUGCACAGAUACUCAGAAUGAUAGCUGAGAUCCACUGAGCUAAGAGAAUACCGUAAUUACUCAGGCAUAACAUAAUGAAAACCUGGGAAAGAAGAAGAAAGAAUAAGAGAAGGAAGGGAGAGGAUGGAAGAAUGAUAGCCCAUGGCAACAGAUUGAAUAUAGAAAGUAAAAGAAGAAAGGUGGUUGUAGAGUUUCUGUUUUUCUUUCAUUAGAAUGAUGUAAGUAGAGGAAUAGAAACUGUUAUAUUUGCAAAAAAAGAGCAAAGAUGCUUUGUGACCUUGGGAAUUAUAUUUGAAGGUUACUCACAAGAGAAUACCUUGUUUAGGAAAGAUGGUUAAUUUUUUUCUUGCAAGCAGACUUUUUUACAAAAUUAGUUAAUGGCAAAUGUGUUCUUUGCUGAAUAUUAAUCUAUAGUAUCAUUUAAGAUGUUCUUAAUUUAUGUUUCUGGACUUUGUUUAAAUGUCAAACUCUAGAAAGGGUAAACUAGCUCACCCCACUGCUAGGUAAUAGCUAGUAUUGUCUUCGCUGCAGGGCAUUUUACAGUAAAAUUUUGAAGUAUAUUGAAAAAAGUUACCAGUUCACUUACUAUACAAUAGCUUGGAAUGUGAAUGUCUGAAAGAAGAAAAAUUCAAUAAAUGACUAUGUAGUUAUUUGGUGGAAUUCACAACAUAAUAACAAGAAAAGGUUUUCAGCUUUGAUCAUAAUGGAAAUGAGUCAUUUAAUUUUACCCUCAGUCCUGGUACACAGUUUCAGCACCUGCUAAGAAGUCGGCUUGCAUUUAAAUGACUUAGGCAAUUAUUAAAAGCAAGUUUCAAGAAAUAAAUGGCAUUUAUAUAAAAAGGAGACUGGGCUCAAACUGCUAGUGCUUUAAAUUUCCAUAAAAGCAAAUUCAAGUUCAGAACAGGAUUCAGGAUUUAGUAACAAUUCAAAGGUUUUCAAUCCCUUAAUCUCUUUGUGAUAACUAUAUUCAUCAUGUAGCCAUUUUUAAAAGGAAGAGAAUAAAAAUGUUAACAUUGAUGUCUACCAGCACUUGUGACUGAAAAAUUGAUUAUAUAUGGUAAAUACUUAUGGCUCCAAA
rnacentral:lncRNA from 10 species